rnacentral:lncRNA from 1 species
AUGGAUUGAGAGCAGGAAUCAAUUGUAUUGCAACUUACUGUGUUGAAAAUGAAUUCUUGCCCAAGAACCUUAAAGAACGUGUUGCACAAUUGGAAAAAGAGAUGGUAGAGGAAAAACUAGAGUUUGAACGCACUAAGACCAAACUUGGACCUUUAACAAGAUCAAGAAAGAAAUUGUCACAACAGCACGAGAAGAAGAAAGACGUCAGUUGCAGCUCCAUUGCUACUUCUGCUGCUGUCCCUAUCAAAAUCAUAUCCCCCUCUCCAUAUACUUCCCCUGAUACUCUACAUACAAACCUCUCCAUCCUCAGUCACUGCCUCAACUGCAGCAUGUAUGACUCACACCACCCUGUCAGCAACUGAUGCCUCUGUGAUUCCCAUCACAAUUACCUUUCCCUCCUCCCCACCUCCAACCACAGUCAGCGCUACUGCCCCAACUACCAAAGAAGUGUCCUCUUCAGUUGCUGCCUCUACUGCUGCUCCUAUCACAGUCACCACCCUCUCCCCUAAGAGGGCAACACAUCCAGCUACUGCCCCUAAGAUUAAAAAACCAAAGCAUGAAACGGAGAAACAAAAGCGAGUGCUCAACAAGCGACCUGGGAGAGUUGUGUCAUCAGGGAAGCCUCUGAACUCCUCGUUCAGUGUGGCUUAUCAUCCUCAGCCAGCAGGUCAGUCUAUGUAUUAUGGUGCACCGCGGAACUCAAAAGCCGGAUAUCAUAGUUUGGCUGAUCACAGCCCUUCAAACUCGCACUUCAACCCGUACGACAAUCGAGUAAAUUCUUAUUACCAUUUGACGCCUCCGAAUUCUGGUUAUUGUAGGCCUGUGCCCUCUUGGAAGCCUUGAGAGACUGCCUUCUGGUCACUGUGAUUUCUGAAUGAUGACUUGACAAACCGAUGAGAGCCUGGCAGAGCUGAAAGCAGGUUUUAAGGAGCUUGAAACCCGAGAACCAAAGGAAUUUGAUCCGAGUUGGAAAUUGAUUGUGAAAAAAUACAUGAGUUGAUCAAUAAUCUAAUAAUAGUAAGCAGUAGGUAAUAUGAUUAUGAAUCCUCCAGUAAGAAAGAUGCGAUGAGCCAACUAUUUCAGAGCAACCCAUGAUUCCAUUCAGCAAAUAUUCAUUAGCUGUCGGACAUCACAUAUGCUAAUGGCUACUAUCCGCUAUAAUCGACUGUAUUGCUCUUUACUUUCUUUCCUUUUGUUUUGGUGGUAAGCCAUCAUGAUUGGCUAUUGCAUAUAUGUCGCAUCUUUCUUGACUGUACCAUGUCAGGUAAAAGACACAAACAUCUUGGCACCUGUCACAAUAAGAUAUUUAUUUCAUAUUAUAUCUGCCCCAAAAAGCACUUCUCCAGUUUUCCCCUUCCCCAGUUGCAAGUGGACAAUGAUUGAUUUGAUGGUACUCUAUUCCUCCAAGAUAAUUCUUAUUUUAAGAGAUACUUUGAUUAUUGAAAAAUUCUUUGAAAUUAUAUCAGUUAAAGAGAAUAAAAAUUAUUAUUAUUAUUAUUAUUUUAUACUAGAAUAAAAGUUUAUUUUUAAAAUAAGGUAAAAUUAUGAGAAGAUGAAAAUCAAGUAAAAAAAGAGAAGACAUAGUAAUUAUAGGAUUGACUUACAAUUUGAUACCUGAUAUUACCCUUCUUUCAAAAUUAGAUUUAUAUUCAAAUCCAUUAAUUAAAGAGUGUUUUCUUUUUAAUAUUCUCACUCUUCUUCUAAAAAUUAUCAUUAACAAAAUAAAGUCCCCAUAAAAAUGCACUCACAGAAAAGUGGUUUCGCUUCCAGUACCAAUCACGCAACUCAUGUUCCCAGCCCCACUUUACAGCACCGUGAUAUCUCUACCACACCAAGA